rnacentral:rRNA from 1 species
UACGUAGGGGGCUAGCGUUGUCCGGAAUCAUUGGGCGUAAAGCGCGUGUAGGCGGCCCGGUAAGUCCGCUGUGAAAGUCGGGGGCUCAACCCUCGGAUGCCGGUGGAUACUGUCGGGCUUGAGUGCGGAAGAGGCGAGUGGAAUUCCUGGUGUAGCGGUGAAAUGCGCAGAUAUCAAGGAGGAACACCAAUUGCGAAGGCAGCUCGCUGGGACGUUACUGACGCUGAGACGCGAAAGCGUGGGGAGCAAACAGG